AGCAGCCGCGGUAAUUCCAGCUCCAAUAGCGUAUAUUAAAGUUGUUGCAGUUAAAAAGCUCGUAGUUGAACUUCGGGGUUUACCCAUUGGUCAGGCUUAAUUGUCUGCACUGGUGAGAUGAAUCUCUACCUUCUGAGGAACCUUCAUGCCAUUUAUUUGGUGUGAUUGGAAAUCAGGACUGUUACUUUGAAAAAUUAGAGUGUUUAAAGCAGGCUAACGUCUGAAUACAUUAGCAUGGAAUAAUGAAAUAGGACGGACUGAUUCUAUUUCGUUGGUUUCUAGGAUCACCGUAAUGAUUAAUAGGGAUAGUUGGGGGUAUUAGUAUUCAAUUGUCAGAGGUGAAAUUCUUGGAUUUAUUGAAGACUAACUACUGCGAAAGCAUUUGCCAAGGAUGUUUUCAUUAAUCAAGAACGAAAGUUAGGGGAUCGAAGACGAUCAGAUACCGUCGUAGUCUUAACCAUAAACUAUGCCGACUAGGGAUCGGACGAAGUUAAUUUAUAAUGACGCGUUCGGCACCUUA
rnacentral:rRNA from 1 species